rnacentral:lncRNA from 1 species
AUCAAUCAACAAAUAUAUAAAAAAAAAUGUUCAACAUCUCUAGCAAUUAAAGAAAUGCAAAUCAAAACUACUCUAAGAUUUCAUCUCUCUCCAGUCAGAAUGGCAGGUAUUAAAUACAGCUAUUAAAUAAAUACAACAAUAAGUGUUAGCGAGGAUGUGAGGGAAAAGGCACACUCAUAUGUUGCUGAUGGGGCUGCAAAUUGGUUCGGCAAAUAUGGAAAGUAGUAUGGAGAUUCCUUGGAAAACUGGGAAUCAGCAUAAACCUGAUGCAGCUAAGUGGAUAAAGAAACUAUGGUAUAUACACACAAUGGAAUAUUAAUCAGCAUGAAAAGAGAAUAAAAUCAUGGCAUUUGCAGGUAAAUGGAUGGAGGUGGAAAAUAUUAUGCUAAGUAAAGUAAGCCAAUCUCUA